rnacentral:ncRNA from 1 species
CCUGUGGAGUGUUAUAGCAAACGAAAGUAGCCGCGGCGAAAUCGGACACGCUGAAGCAGGAA